rnacentral:tRNA from 1 species
GGGGCUGUAGCUCAGUGGUAGAGUGCCUGCCUCGCAGGUGUGAGGCACUGUGUUUGAUCCUCAGCACCA